AUUGAACGCUGGCGGCAUGCUUUACACAUGCAAGUCGAACGGCAGCGCGGGCUUCGGCCUGGCGGCGAGUGGCGAACGGGUGAGUAAUACAUCGGAACGUGUCCAGUAGUGGGGGAUAGCUCGGCGAAAGCCGGAUUAAUACCGCAUACGACCUGAGGGUGAAAGCGGGGGAUCUUCGGACCUCGCGCUAUUGGAGCGGCCGAUGGCAGAUUAGCUAGUUGGUGGGGUAAAGGCCUACCAAGGCGACGAUCUGUAGCUGGUCUGAGAGGACGACCAGCCACACGGGGACUGAGACACGGCCCAGACUCCUACGGGAGGCAGCAGUGGGGAAUUUUGGACAAUGGGCGAAAGCCUGAUCCAGCAAUGCCGCGUGUGUGAUGAAGGCCUUCGGGUUGUAAAGCACUUUUGGCGGGAACGAAAAGGACUGUGCCAAUACCACGGUUCGAUGACGGUACCCGCAGAAUAAGCACCGGCUAACUACGUG
rnacentral:rRNA from 1 species